GCUCCGCCAGUCCCUAGUGUGGCUGGGAGUCGCCGAGGGCGGGGCAAGGGCGGGUUGUGGACUUUCAGCCACACGUUUCCUCACCGAGCCAGUCCGGGGAGAGGGUGGCUAGUUGUGGCGGCGGCCAAUUACGUGGUGGGCCUCGGGUCUCAGCGGUAACGUCACUUCCGACUGCUUGAGUUUUAGCCUUUUAACAUUCAAGGAGCAGGCUAUCUACAGUAUCCAAGGUGCAUGAGGAUGAAAUUAAAAUUGGAUUGUGUCUGCAUUUCUUCUGGGAAACAAAGCUUGAGUGCAAAGGCAGCAGCAAACGUGUCUAAAGUGAAGAGCAUCAACAAGUAGUUCAAUGAGAUGAUGUAAGACCCAACGUGACAUAUUUGAUGGAUUUUAGAGGAAGACCCCUUCCUUUGAGGUUUUUCUAUAUUGUUGUGCUGAGAAUACUUCAGUGUGUUCAGUCAACUGGAGCGUGUGCAUGGAGUUUUGAUAUUGCUGCCUGCCUUUGGUCGGUAGAGCAGUUUACCCCUCCAGCACCUGACACAGGUGAAAAUUCAGAGUUUGCUGGGGUUGACAUUCUGCCACAUAUGUUGUCAUUGAGCUUGGAUCUUCCUCCCUCAGACAAUGAUUUGUUACAAUCUCUGGCUCUGUUUCCAUGCGGAUAUAAGAUAUCGGAUAAAGUCAGAGGAGCCUGUUGUGAGUUUUGUCUCCAAAUCCAAGGAUUGGUACUUUUGCCGGAUUGGACUGCUGCUGUUUGAAAAAAAAAAAAAGAGGUGGUGGUGGGAGAGAUUGCUGUUUAUCUCCCAAUACGUGUCCUUCUCUUCUUCCCUAAUAAAAGAACUUUUAGCUGGGCACAUGGCUGACUGAAAUAAAAUGACCUUUCUCAGCAUCACAUGCAGCCAGGUAUGUCCAUGUGAUUGGCCAGUGAGGGUGAGCAGAUAUGAUGUGUGCAGCUUCUGGUUCAUACCUCCUUCCUCUUUCCCACUAGAAAGCAGGUGUGGUGGUAAGCCAUCAUGGACCACGUGGGUGUGAGCAAUUCCUUAGGGUAGUAAAUUGCCACCUUUGCUGCACAUUAGAAUCACUGAGGGAGCUUUUAGAAAUCCCAAUGCCCAGGUCACACCAUGUACCAGUCGAAUGAGAAUGUCUGGGGUGAGAGCCAGACAUCAGUGUUUUAAAAAAUCUCCAAGUGAUUCCAAUGUGUAGCAGAGUUUGGGAACCACUGCCUUAGAGGUUCCAGAGCAAGUACACUGGAGAAGCCUAUGUUGCUGACAGCAUACCUGUCCAGGACAACGUAUGACAAGACUGUCACAUGUCAGAGAAAUAGACUUCUAGCUUGUGUAGGCCGGUUAUUUGGAGUCGUGGUUAUAACAACUGAACCUAUAUAUUAACUGUAUAAUAAACAUGGGUCAUGUCAUCAAAACAGACUGA